UGUGUAGGCGGGCUAAUAAGUCAGUGGUGAAAUCUCUCGGCUCAACCGGGAAACUGCCAUUGAUACUGUUAGUCUUGAGUUCGGUUGAGGUAGGCGGAAUGUGUAAUGUAGCGGUGAAAUGCUUAGAUAUUACACAGAACACCAAUUGCAUAGGCAGCUUACUAGACCGACACUGACGCUGAGGCACGAAAGCGUGGGGAGCGAACAGGAUUAGAUACCCUGGUAGUCC
rnacentral:rRNA from 1 species